GGGAGGUACAAGUGGUUCCACUGUACCGUACACGAACGGGGUGGUUUUGUGUGCAGAGCAGCAGGGUCCCGCUUUCGGAAGGCUAUAGGAAGCUAUCGCACCGGCACGUCAGCUCAUUUCGUGUCGAAACGUGGUCGAAGUCACAUUGCUCUGCGGGGUGGGACGAUGUCACCUAGAGUGCCUACGUCGUCGUCGUUGGAUCUGUCCGUGCAAGGGAAGCAGCGGUGGUCAUGUCACCACAUCCAACCAGCCAACCAACCGGUAAAUAUUAGCCCAGCAAGCCCAUCUUUUGCUCAUCGAUCCGGGCACACGGACGGGCGGACGGACCCGCAACGCAUCAGCUUCACGUGCGCGCAACUGAGUGGACUGAGAAGAGGGUCCGUGACCGAUCUUGUUUGUGUAUUAACAGUACGGUUUGCGCAUCGAUCGUUCGGAUAGGUUGCCAUUAAGAAUAACCUGGGGGCGGCCACGUUUUCUGCGGGGUUGAAAAGAGUACAGAGUACGGUACAGGAAAGGGCUACGGGAUUCACAUCCCAAACGUGCGAUGAUGUAAGCGAUCAAUAGCUCAUUGUACGCAUAGUGCAGACACCUGUACGCAGUAGCUCUCUUCUCGGUGGUGAUGAUGGUUGCCCAGUUCGAUCGUACCAGGAUCGCAAUCGAAUAUGAAAAUAAAGAGAGCUAUCCGUCGACAGUAGGGAUAUAAUUCACUGUCAUGGAAUUGCUCUCUUUAUGUACAAUUCGAUAUUCAACGUGCAACGUGCCGGAGGUGUCAACGUUGCGUCAUUAAAGGGGGGGGGGUCGUCUUCAUCUCUCGCAUUGAUGGACCAUGCCAUGUGACCGCCAUAUGACGCAGAAGAAGAAUGCCGCAUUUAUUGCACCUCAAAUUCGAUAAAAAUCUAUUUCCUAAAUAGCAGGGUGGACAAAUGAUAAUGCAGCUUAAUGAUGACCUUAAUUUUAUUUCUCUUAAAAUGAAAACACACGUGCUCUCGUGCUCUCCAAUUAUUGUGUAGGUAUACGAUCGGCCAUUACUGUGACUUUCCUUCCCACGUGUACCGGGCAGCAAGAAGAAAAAGAAAAGAAAAAAAAAACACAGCAAACAACAAUAAAUUCAUAUUUUUCCCUGACUCGUUUAGUUCAACAAGUUUGUAGGCACUUAAAAUAUCAUUUAUUUCAACCACACACACUCUCGUUACGACGUGAGGGUACCCCUGGGGAGAGGUAUUACAAUGUGAGUUGAUUGUAUGGCAAAAAAAGAGAGAGAGAGAGACUACAAAAUAGGAUGGAACGGUGAGAUGGGGGAUGCAGGGGCGGCAGAAAGUCUCUUAUCAGGUGUGUGUGGUUGCAGUUGUUUGCCUCUAAUACCGGCACGAAAGUACAAUGAUUUAGCACGUCGUAGCAGUUGGAACAUGGCGGGAGAGAGAGAGGGAGAGAGAAAGAGAGAGCGGGGAACCCAUCAGGUGUUCCGAGGUGAUCAGAACAGGAGCGGCAUACGUGCGUUUGCUGGAUCGCUAGAUGUGUUAACGUGGCGCAAUAGGUAUCGAGAGUAGUCGCACUAUCGCACAUCUUAUCGCACAACACCGGCACUGGAUCGCCCCCUUACGAGGGGCACACAGAGAGAAAGCGGGAGGACAACUGUACUGCAGGUGCUUUAUCGAUUGCUGCCUU